UACGUAGGUGGCAAGCGUUGUCCGGAUUUAUUGGGUUUAAAGGGUGCGUAGGCGGCUUAUUAAGUCAGUGGUGAAAUACUCUAGCUCAACUAGAGGGGUGCCAUUGAUACUGAUGAGCUUGAGUACAGAUGAGGUAGGCGGAAUUGACGGAUGUAGCGGUGAAAUGCUUAGAUAUCGUCAAGAACACCUAUAGCGAAGGCAGCUUACUAGGCUGUAACUGACGCUGAGGCACGAAAGUGUGGGGAUCAAACAGG
rnacentral:rRNA from 1 species